rnacentral:lncRNA from 1 species
AGGAAGGAGAAAGACAAAGAUGGCGAGCACGCCAUGUUAGAGAAGGAAAGCCAGGCCGGCUAAGAACAUCCAAACGCCCUGAUUGACAAGGAUGAGCAGAAAGCGCACCCCUCCUGAUCUGCAUCCAUUACAAGAGUUCAGUCUGGUGUGAGCAUUCAUGCCUACAGCACUGCCCAGCGGCUUCCUGCUCUGCACCAGGCGCCUGCCCCCUGCUCACACUCCGGCACCUUCAUCGGUUCUCUGCCUGCAUAUCAAGCAUGAGGAGCUGGCUUCAAUGGCUCCAGAGAAUAAACUCAGGUUUAAUCAACUUGAUACCUGUUUUUAUUAUGGCAACCUGUAACCUAGAUGUGUCUAUAAAGCCACCCAUUUUAAAGGUGGAUUUGUCAUUGCUCUUGUCAAGUUAAUAAAAUUAACAAUUAAGGCUG